rnacentral:rRNA from 1 species
AGGGAAUCUUCCGCAAUGGACGAAAGUCUGACGGAGCAACGCCGCGUGAGUGAUGAAGGUUUUCGGAUCGUAAAGCUCUGUUGCCAGGGAAGAACGUCCGUUAGAGUAACUGCUAACGGAGUGACGGUACCUGAGAAGAAAGCCCCGGCUAACUACGUGCCAGCAGCCGCGGUAAUACGUAGGGGGCAAGCGUUGUCCGGAAUUAUUGGGCGUGAAGCGCGCGCAGGCGGCUGUUUAAGUCUGGUGUAUAAUCCUGGGGCUCAACUCCGGGUCGCACUGGAAACUGGAUGGCUUGAGUGCAGAAGAGGAGAGUGGAAUUCCACGUGUAGCGGUGAAAUGCGUAGAGAUGUGGAGGAACACCAGUGGCGAAGGCGACUCUCUGGGCUGUAACUGACGCUGAGGCGCGAAAGCGUGGGGAGCAAAC